rnacentral:rRNA from 1 species
GCCCCGCGCUGCCGGUUCACCGCUCGUCGGUGUCCAACUGGCAUGCGUGCGGGGCGUCCUGCCGGUGGGCGCGAGCCGACUGCGGUGGUAGGCGCUCUCGGGCCAGGCUCCGGCGGUGAGCAAUCGCUGUCGGGCCCGGCUCUCGGGGGCGUCGCGGCCCCGUGGAAGGCGGACCCCGAUCUCACCCGCCGCGGUGCUCUUAACUGAGUGUCGUGCGGGCCGGCACGUUUACUUUGAACAAAUUAACGUGCUUAACGCAGGCCUUUGUCUGCCCGAAUACUCUUGCAUGGAAUAAUGGAAUAGGACCUCGGUUCUAUUUUGUUGGUUUUCGGAAGUCGAGGUAAUGAUUAAUGGGGAUUGCCGGGGGCAUCCGUAUUGCGACGUUAGAGGUGAAAUUCUUGGAUCGUCGCAAGACGAACUGGAGCGAAAGCGUUUGCCAAGUAUGUUUUCUUUAAUCAAGAACGAAAGUUAGAGGUUCGAAGGCGAUCAGAUACCGCCCUAGUUCUAACCAUAAACUAUGCCAACUAGCGAUCCGCUGUGUGUCUUACAUGUCACGGCGGGCAGCCUCCGGGAAACCAAAGUUUUUGGGUUCCGGGGGAAGUAUGGUUGCAAAGCUGAAACUUAAAGGAAUUGACGGAAGGGCACCACCAGACGUGGAGCCUGCGGCUUAAUUUGACUCAACGCGGGGAACCUCAUCAGGCCAGGACACCGGAAGGAUUGACAGAUUGAGAGCUCUUUCUUGAUUCGGUGGGUGGUGGUGCAUGGCCGUUCUUAGUUCGUGGAUUGAUUUGUCUGCUUAAUUGCGAUAACGAACGAGAUCCUACCCUACUAACUAGUCGAAACCGGCAUCCCCUGUGCAGCCGGCGACCAACACUCUUCUUAGAGGGACAAGCGGCUUCCAGCCGCAGGAAGUGGGGCAAUAACAGGUCUGUAAUGCCCUUAGAUGUUCUGGGCAGCACGCGCGCUACACUGAAGGUAUCAACGUGUGUUUUCCUUGCUCGAGAGGGCCGGGUAACCCGUUGAAACUCCUUCGUGCUAGGGAUUGGGGCUUGCAAUUAUUCCCCACCAACGAGGAAUGCCUAGUAAGCGGGAAUCAUUACUUCCCGCUGAUUAAGUCCCUGCCCUUUGUACACACCGCCCGUCGCUACUACCGAUUGAAUAUUUUAGUGAGGUCUUCGGACCAGCCCGCGGACCCUUCUCAGGGGCCGUAGAGCCGGAAAGAUGACCGAACUUGAAUAUUUAGAGGAAGUAAAAGUCGUAACAAGGUUUCCGUAGGUGAACCUUCGGAAG